AGGCAGCAGUGGGGAAUAUUGCACAAUGGGGGAAACCCUGAUGCAGCCAUGCCGCGUGUGUGAAGAAGGCCUUCGGGUUGUAAAGCACUUUCAGCGAGGAGGAAAGGUCAGUAGCUAAUACCUGCUGACUGUGACGUUACUCGCAGAAGAAGCACCGGCUAACUCCGUGCCAGCAGCCGCGGUAAUACGGAGGGUGCAAGCGUUAAUCGGAAUUACUGGGCGUAAAGCGCACGCAGGCGGUUGGAUAA
rnacentral:rRNA from 1 species